ncrna:unclassified sequences c-di-GMP-II-GAG riboswitch
GGCUGGACGUUAAGCGAAGAUCCGGGCGGUCCUCACCGGCACAGCAGGUGCACGGAGGAAAUACGGUCGCCAGACCGUCCGGGGAGCCAGUGGCGAGACCGGAAAGUCCAUGA